UACAGAGGUCCCAAGCGUUGUUCGGAUUCACUGGGCGUAAAGGGUGCGUAGGCGGUCGGGUAAGUCUGAUGUGAAAUCUCACAGCUUAACUGUGAAACUGCAUUGGAUACUAUUCGGCUUGAGAGUUGGAGGGGGACUGGAAUUCUUGGUGUAGCAGUGAAAUGCGUAGAUAUCAAGAGGAACACCAGUGGCGAAGGCGAGUCCCUGGACAACUUCUGACGCUGAGGCACGAAAGCCAGGGGAGCAAACGGG
rnacentral:rRNA from 1 species